CCUACGGGCGGCAGCAGUGAGGAAUAUUGGUCAAUGGUCGAGAGUCUGAACCAGCCAAGUAGCGUGAAGGAUGACUGCCCUGAGGGUUGUAAACUUCUUUUAUAUGGGAAUAAAAUGUUACACGUGUGCGCUUUUGUAUGUACCUUAUGAAUAAGGAUCGGCUAACUCCGUGCCAGCAGCCGCGGUAAUACGGAGGAUCCGAGCGUUAUCCGGAUUUAUUGGGUUUAAAGGGAGCGUAGGUGGGUUGUUAAGUCAGUUGUGAAAGUUUGCGGCUCAACCGUAAAAUUGCAGUUGAAACUGGCAGUCUGGAGUACAGUAGAGGGGGGCGGAAUUCGUGGUGUAGCGGGGAAAUGCUUAG
rnacentral:rRNA from 1 species